CGGGCAUUCGGCAGACGCCCGGCACCAUCAGGCGGGUCUCCCGUCCAAGCUCUGC
rnacentral:ncRNA from 1 species